rnacentral:rRNA from 1 species
AGAACGAACGCUGGCGGCAUGCCUAAUACAUGCAAGUCGAACGAACACUUCGGUGUUAGUGGCGCACGGGUGCGUAACGCGUGGGAAUCUGCCCUUGGGUUCGGAAUAACAGUUGGAAACGACUGCUAAUACCGGAUGAUAUCGAAAGAUCAAAGAUUUAUCGCCCAGGGAUGAGCCCGCGUAGGAUUAGCUAGUUGGUGAGGUAAAGGCUCACCAAGGCGACGAUCCUUAGCUGGUCUGAGAGGAUGAUCAGCCACACUGGGACUGAGACCACGGCCCAGACCUCCUACGGGAGGCAGCAGUAGGGAAUAGUGGACAAGUGGGCGCAAGCCUAGAUCCAGCAAUGCCGCGUGAGUGAUGAAGGUCGUUAGGUUGUAAGCUACUUUACCGAGUAUAGAUAAGUGACAGUAGUACGGAAGAACGUAACGACCCGGACUAACCGUCCGU